GUUAAAAAGCUCGUAGUUGGAUUCUGGGUUUUGGUAAAAUCGGUCUAGAUUUUUCUAGUACUGACUUGCCUGCCCUUCUUCUCGAGGCUUAUGAGUGCACUUAACCGUGUGUUCAUAAUGUUCGGGACUUUUACCGUGAGAAAAUUAGAGUGUUCAUAGCAGGCUUUUGCUUGAAUAUUGCAGCAUGGAAUAAUGGAAUAGGAUCAUGAUCUUAUUUUGUUGGUUUCUAAGAUCAAGAUAAUGAUUAAUAGGGAUAGUUGGGGGCAUUAAUAUUUAGUUGUCAGAGGUGAAAUUCUUAGAUUUACAAAAGAUUAACUUCUGCGAAAGCAUUUGCCAAGGAUGUUUUCGUUAAUCAAGAACGAAAGUUGAGGGUUCGAAGACGAUCAGAUACCGUCGUAGUCUUAACCAUAAACUAUGCCGACUAGGGAUUGGUGGUCGUUAUUUAUGACUCCAUCAGCACCUUAUGAGAAAUCAAAGUUUUUGGGUUCUGGGGGGAGUAUGGUCGCAAGGCUGAAACUUAAAGGAAUUGACGGAAGGGCACCACCAGGAGUGGAGCCUGCGGCUUAAUUUGACUCAACACGGGGAAGCUCACCAGGUCCGGACAUAGUAAGGAUUGACAGAUUGAGAGCUCUUUCUUGAUUCUAUGGGUGGUGGUGCAUGGGCCGUUCUUAGUUUGGCGGAGUGAUUUGUC
rnacentral:rRNA from 1 species